rnacentral:lncRNA from 1 species
UUGGAUAAAUAAAACAAAUCGUCACUACCUUCAGAAUGAUAUAUUUAAAUUGGACUGAUUAUUACAAGAUUUAAAAUGGGGGUGCCAAUUCAAAACAUGACUGGUAGAGAAAUAUGAACUGAAUGGCCAAUAUUGAAAUGGAAGCAUUUUAAGAAUUUCUUUUAAAUUGCAAAACUAUGGAACAAAUUUAAAGGAAUUGUAUGGAUAGGUAGAGGGAAGAGUGUUAAAAUUCUGUUUUGGAUGAGUUCUCACAUAACAAAAAUGGAAAACAUUUAGGCAGAUCAUUGAUACUACAAAGUAAAUUAACCGGAACAUAAUGCCCUUUGUUCUAGGUGUUCAUUGAGUGAGUGAACAAAUGAAUGAAUUAAUGCACAUUUGGUUUUAUUUAUCAGGUAAUAAUAAAAGGUCAGUGAAAUGAAUUAAUUAUAUUAAAAAUAAUUCCUAUGGUUAACUGUUGACUAAGCUUUCAAUCAGUAUAAUCUCUUUCAAUCAAUAUACUAUAUUUUCAUGGGAAAAAGAGAUGACAAGAAAUUUUCUAACUAAUCCAGAUUGAAAACUAGUCUUCAAUGCAAAAUAGUCUUAUUCAGAAUGUACGGCUGUGUUUCUGUGGAAUGUUGGACUCUCUUCAUUUCAGUCCCUUCUGUGUCAAGAGGAUUAUGUGAUGACUGAAGCUACUUCAAUAAGCUGGAAGAUUCUUACUCAACUGUGUUUUCCUGCCGACGAACCUGGGUCUAGAGGAUUUUCAAAGGUUAUCAUUUCAUUCCAGCAAAAACAUCCACUUCUUCUAUUAGGUAGACACUCGAAGGUGAUUGUUGUAUUGCUUUGGAUUAAGCUAUAUUAAAAUGGUCAAAUCGGUUAGGUUUAGACUAAGCCAAUAUUAGAGAAAUAAGCAAAGGGUCGAUUUUUUUUUUUUUUUCCCCCAUUUCAUGCAGCUUUGUAUCACAGGACACUUUCCCUGUCCACUUUCUUAAAUCCUUUCCCAGAGUCACUGCCUCCUUUGCACACUCUCUUUCUUAAAUAGCAAGACUAAGACCUUCUCAGCAGAAAUAUAAAUAAGGCAGAUUGGAAAUAUACAAGAUAUGUGUUUACCACAUAUGCGUGUGUAUGUGAAUGUGUAUUCUUAAUGAAUACACUUGUUUAUCUUUAGUUAUAAAUUUUGAUCUUUGUUCAAAAUAAUGUUUUUCCAAACAUUCACAUAUUAAAACAAUCAGCUUCAAGAAAGAUUUCUGCCAUGCUAAAUUGUCAGUUUCUUCUAUUUGUGAGAGAUAAUAAAAUAGUGACUGUGUAAAUUGGUUAUGAAGCUGUUUAAAACAAAUUCUCACUUUAAUUCUAUUUAAUCUAUAUACUUUGUAAUCAAACUGGAUGAUAGUCCAGCAAUAUCAUACAUAAUCUAAUAAUUUUAUUUUGUAUCCUCUGUACAAAACUUUUUUAUUAUACUGUGGCUAAGUAAAUUGCACUAUUGUACCUGCAAAGCAGCUUUUUUAGUUAUUCAAUAAAUUACUUGGACUGUAGUUCAAUGCAAUAAUUUUUUUUCAAUAAAAAGCUUAAUGGUAUGAGAGUGUUAGUCACGUAUUUCUAACAAAAAGCAUACCAAAAUAUCAGAACAAAAUCAAAAGCAAAAUGGUAUGAAAAUAAUCUGUAUUUUACACUGCUGAAUUUAAAAUGCAUUCAACAUUUUAUUUAUUAUUGUGUAUAUUUAUAUUAUAUAUUUAAAGGCUGGAAUUUCUUAGACUAUUUCUUAAAACUUUAGUGUUAUAAAAUAAAGCUGUUUCCUCAAACUGAAAAUAAAUGUCUUUAAAAUUCUAUAGAUGUGUUCUUUGUUGAAACCUAUUAUACCUAUACUACUUGAUGCCCUGUUUCUGUUUGUUCACAUUAAAAAAUUGUGAUCUAAUAUGAUGCAGUGCUCUAACAAAGCUCUAUAAAUACUUUCUGUAAUGUAUUCUGCAGUUGACACACUAUAGACAUGGUGGCAUACUGCCUAUUAUAGUAUUUGAUUGUAAACUAAAAAAAUACUUUAAUUAAUAACCCCAAUACGCUGUUAUUUUGAGAAGGACUUUAAUCAACUAUGACCAAUGUUAUGGGACUAUGACUUGAGACACUAGUUGACUGUCACUUCUCAUGUAAUUUUCUCUGUCUCUGCCCUUCCCAAGACAACUGUUUGGAGACUUCAUCUGGUGAGAAUCUUAGUAUGAUUUAUUCUGUGCAAAAGCUGAGACCAAGAGUUCCUAGAAAUGACUGCUAGAUGCCCCCUUGUUCUUGAAUCACAUGGAUAUUUAACUCUUCUUUUUACCCUCCUAUAAGUUUUAACCAAGUUUAAAAGCUCCUUGCUUCUGCACUUUAAUUGGAUACCCUGUCACUACCUGUGCCUUUAUUGAACAGGACCUUGCUCUUCAAUCUAACCCAGCGGUCAAGCCCAGGUUCCAGCUGCCCAUCACCUGCCUCCCUAAACUUCCACCUACAUUCUCUAUUUCUGUACUGAACUCUCUUCAGAAUCCUCCUAAAUAAUCAACAAGUACCGUUCCCAGAACACACACACGUGAGCAUACAUACAUUUUUGACGAGAGUCAUGGCAGAAACUCUCAUUUCUUAAUUAACUUGUCGCCAUGUAUUGAUUACCUAUACGGACCAGGCACUGUUCAGGUCACACAUAUCCUUCCCACUAGUUAUAGUCCCAGGUACCUUCUGAUCAGAAAAAUUGAUUUUACUUGAAAAUAAAGAAGAGGAUAUUACUAAUUGGACAGAGACAUAGAAGAAAUGGUGAUGUAUGAUCUGUGUAUUCAGUGUCCACCCCUCCCUCAUGUGUGAAGCUUUUGCCAGAUCUGGGCUUUGCUCACCUGUGUAAUUUUAAGGCCAUCAUGGAAUUAUUUGACACAGACAUAAAAUGCAUAUCUCACACUCUUGAGGUUGUGUUCUCUUAUUAUAUCUGGUAGAAUUGAGUCAAUUCCCAAAUGGUAUUUGGUAAUGUUUUGAAUCAUAGAAAAAUUAGCAGAACUUUGUGAAUUUGCUUAGCAAGAAAUAGAUGAAAGCUACUCGGCAGCCUGGCACACUCAUGAAAGGGCUAUGCUACUUUAAAACUCUCCAGGUGCACAAUUCGCCAAUUAAACACUUUCUUUACAUUAAUUUUUUAUUAGAGGGAUAAUUCAAAGACAUGGUAUUUCAAUUAU